rnacentral:rRNA from 1 species
GCUAAGACUGGAUAGGAAGAAAUAAGGCAUCUUUUUUCUUUUAAAAGACCUAGUGAUAGGUAUACUUUAGGAGGGGCUUGCGCCAUAUUAGUUAGUUGGUAGGGUAAUGGCCUACCAAGACGAUGAUGUGUAGCUGGACUGAGAGGUUGAACAGCCACAUUGGGACUGAGACACGGCCCAAACUCCUACGGGAGGCAGCAGUAGGGAAUUUUCGGCAAUGGAGGAAACUCUGACCGAGCAACGCCGCGUGAACGACGAAGUACUUUGGUAUGUAAAGUUCUUUUAUCAAGGAAGAAAAGCAAGUGGUGAACCAUUUGUUUGCCGGUACUUGAUGAAUAAGCCCCGGCUAAUUAUGUGCCAGCAGCCGCGGUAAGACAUAAGGGGCAAGUGUUAUCCGGAAUUAUUGGGCGUAAAGGGUGCGUAGGCGGUCUAGUAAGUCAGUGGUGUAAUGGCAACGCUCAACGUUGUCCGGCUAUUGAAACUGCUAAACUUGAGUUAGAUAGAGGCGAGUGGAAUUCCAUGUGUAGCGGUAAAAUGCGUAAAUAUAUGGAGGAACACCAGAGGCGUAGGCGGCUCGCUGGGUCUUAACUGACGCUGAGGCACGAAAGCGUGGGGAGCAAACAGGAUUAGAUACCCUGGUAGUCCACGCCGUAAACGAUGAGUACUAAGUGUCGGGUUAAACCGGUACUGAAGUUAACACAUUAAGUACUCCGCCUGAGUAGUACGUACGCAAGUAUGAAACUUAAAGGAAUUGACGGGACUCCGCACAAGCGGUGGAUCAUGUUGUUUAAUUUGAAAGAUACCCCAAAAAACCUUACCAAGGUCUUGACAUGUUUUUGCGAAACCGGUAGUAAUAUCGUGGAGGUUAUCAGAAACACAGGUGGUGCAUGGUUGUCGUCAGCUCGUGUCGUGAGAUGUUAGGUUAAGUCCUAAAACGAGCGAAACCCUUAUCGUUAGUUGCCAGCACGUUAUGGUGGGGACUUUAACGAGACUGCCAGUGAUAAAUUGGAGGAAGGUGAGGAUCACGUCAAAUCAGCAUGCCCCUUAUGACCUGGGCUACAAACGUGAUACAAUGGCUGUUACAAAGGGUAGCUGAAACGCAAGUUCUUGGCCAAUCCCCAAAAACAGUCUCAGUCCGGAUUGAAGUCUGCAACUCGACUUCAUGAAGUUGGAAUCGCUAGUAAUCGCGAAUCAGCAUGUCGCGGUGAAUACGUUCUCGGGGUUUGUACACACCGCCCGUCA